rnacentral:tRNA from 1 species
AAGUUUAGGUUCACAAAACCAAGAGCCUUCAAAGUUCCCAACAGGGCCAAUGCCCUAACUUAUG